rnacentral:rRNA from 1 species
UACGUAGGGGGCGAGCGUUGUCCGGAAUUAUUGGGCGUAAAGAGCGUGUAGGCGGUUCGGUAAGUCUGCCGUGAAAACCUGGGGCUCAACCCUGGGCGUGCGGUGGAUACUGCCGGGCUAGAGGGUGGUAGAGGCGAGUGGAAUUCCCGGUGUAGCGGUGAAAUGCGCAGAUAUCAGGAGGAACACCAAUGGCGAAGGCAGCUCGCUGGGACGUGACUGACGCUGAGACGCGAAAGCGUGGGGAGCGAACAGG